ACAUUUUUAUACUACUUCUUUAUAUAUAAAGAAGGGUUUGAAUCCCUCCUAGGAUGUCCACAUGGGAUGACAGGUCAGAAAAUCGCUUCAUGUGGUGUUGACACCUGUCCCUCUCACCAAAACGCACCAUAUCAUUUUCUCUUGUGUCUGAUGGGCUUCGAUUGUGGGCUUUCAAUGCAAUGCGUGAAAGUGUAUGUGCGGGACAAAAGGAUCCCGUCUUCUUCCCGAUGAAAUGGCUAUUACUAAAUCUAGGUUUGAUCUUCAUCAUCUCAGCUUCUUCAAUCUCAGACGAGCCGGCAAUGGAGUUUCAGGACGUUGUGGGAGACGAAUAUUCUGGAGGAAUCUCUUGCUCGAGAUUUCUUCGUGUCGGUUCUUCUCCUCCGAAACGUUACGAGAUGCAAUGAUUCGUCGCCGUCAACAACCAUCUUUAUUUCUUCCACUCACAAUCAUGAUGAUUUAACCAUUUAAUGCUUCUUAUCUCUCUUCCAGAUUGCGGAUCUCAACCUAUAAAAAGGCUUGCUGCUGUUCUUCAACUGUCAAGGUCUCUGAUUUUGGGAAGCUAGCGCGGUGGAGAGCUGACGGUGUGGACGUGCUCCUGCUAAGGUGAUUCUGUUCUUAAACUUCAUGCUCAUCUUAGUUUAAAAUUAACGCAGGCGUUUAUACUCAUAACAGACAGACUUUUGUUUCCACAUCUUUAACGAGCCUAUUAGAGAUAUAAUUACGAAUCCGUUUGUCGAUUACGUUUCUUUUCUUAUAUGUGUUUGAUCAUCUUAGUUUAAAACUAAAGUUGUCGUCUAGGAGGAGCAUGAUCUUCGUGGUUUAAAAACAGCGUUCAAUCUCAGAAUUUUUUAUCGAAAUUUUAUUUUCACUCUUUGGGAGAUAAUUUAGUCCCAUAUAUGUUCAGACUUCUCUCUCAAAUUGCUUGAACUUAUGAUCAUGAGAGCUUAGGUUUGUUGUUCGCUGCCAUUCAUGUGGUACAGUUGGUUGUUCAGUCAUGGAGAGUUAAUAGCAACUGUUUAUGGCAGAGAAUCUCACACAGAUGGAGAUACAUAACGGCGCAUCCACCUCUUUCUGGUUUGAUGUAUGGGAUGUAUGGUACCCAUUAGGAAAAUUAAUCAACUUAACGGGAUUAAGAGGAUGUAUCGAUCUUGGGCUACACAUACAAGUGACUGGAAUAUGCAGUGCAGUCUUAUCGCUGCAGAAGAAACAAAGGAGAGCAUCUAAUUAUGAUUGAAAAGGAGCUAAUGACACUGAGACAGAGAGCGCUCUCUCUGCAACCGGAUGUGAGACUAUGGAAAGGUGCAGAUUUCAACACAAAAUAGACUUCGCUGCAGAUUAGAUCGCAGGGUCACGUCUAGACUGGACAAGGUGUAUGCUAGAUGGUUCAAGGAACAAGACUGUCCUUUUCCUCAUUACCAAAUCUUUUUCGGUCUCACUUGCUCUUCUUCUUCUCCUACGAUUAGCUGUGCUUCCGUUUCAACUUCCUCUCUUUAGAUUCUCUCCAUACGUAUGCUGAUUGAGCUUUCUAAUCUUCACAGCAUUUUUUUAACUGCGUAUGUGAAAUCCUUGCGGUUUUUAAGUCAAUGAAAAGAUCAUCUUGAUGCUCUGUUAUACUUUAAUGUUUAUAUUUAAUUUUUGCUGCAUUAUAUGAAACAUAUUACACGAUAAAUCCCUUAGAUAGAUCUAUCGAAGAGACUUUAUA